rnacentral:rRNA from 1 species
AUUGAACGCUGGCGGCAGGCUUAACACAUGCAAGUCGAGCGGGGUGAUGGUGCUUGCACUAUCACUUAGCGGCGGACGGGUGAGUAAUGCUUAGGAAUCUGCCUAUUAGUGGGGGACAACAUCUCGAAAGGGAUGCUAAUACCGCAUACGUCCUACGGGAGAAAGCAGGGGAUCUUUAUGACCUUGCGCUAAUAGAUGAGCCUAAGUCGGAUUAGCUAGUUGGUGGGGUAAAGGCCUACCAAGGCGACGAUCUGUAGCGGGUCUGAGAGGAUGAUCCGCCACACUGGGACUGAGACACGGCCCAGACUCCUACGGGAGGCAGCAGUGGGGAAUAUUGGACAAUGGGGGGAACCCUGAUCUAGCCAUGCCGCGUGUGUGAAGAAGGCCUUAUGGUUGUAAAGCACUUUAAGCGAGGAGGAGGCUCUUUUGGUUAAUACCCAGAAUGAGUGGACGUUACUCGCAGAAUAAGCACCGGCUAACUCUGUGCCAGCCGCCGCAGUAAUAC